rnacentral:rRNA from 1 species
CGGUUAAAGAGCGGCGGACGGGUGAGUAACGCGUGGGUAACCUGCCCUGUACACACGGAUAACAUACCGAAAGGUAUGCUAAUACGAGAUAAAAUACUUUUAUCGCAUGGUAGAAGUAUCAAAGCUUUUGCGGUACAGGAUGGACCCGCGUCUGAUUAGCUAGUUGGUAAGGUAACGGCUUACCAAGGCGACGAUCAGUAGCCGACCUGAGAGGGUGAUCGGCCACAUUGGAACUGAGACACGGUCCAAACUCCUACGGAAGGCAGCAG